UCGGCUUACUGGAACCUGUGCCAUCUUGUA
rnacentral:piRNA from 1 species